ncrna:unclassified sequences PhotoRC-II RNA
UAACAUUGUCUUCCUGCCGUUUGACCGAGACUAGGCAGGGUUACCAAUCCGUCUCUCAUAUCCCCGCUAAGGGUGCGGGGAGCAUAGUAUCUCCA